UGGAUUAGCGGCGGACGGGUGAGUAACACGUGAGUAACCUGCCUUAGACAUUGGGAUAGCCUCGGGAAACCGGGAUUAAUACCAAAUAAAAUCAUAAUGACACAUGUCAUAACGAUCAAAACUCCGGUGGUCUAAGAUGUACUCGCGUCCCAUUAGCUAGUUGGUAGAGUAAAAGCCUACCAAGGCGACGAUGGGUAGCCGGCCUGAGAGGGUGAACGGCCACAUUGGAACUGAGAAACGGUCCAA
rnacentral:rRNA from 1 species